rnacentral:rRNA from 1 species
UACGUAUGGAGCAAGCGUUAUCCGGAUUUACUGGGUGUAAAGGGAGCGUAGGCGGCCUGGCAAGUCUGGUGUGAAAACCCGCGGCCCAACCGCGGGAGUGCAUUGGAAACUGCCAGGCUGGAGUGCCGGAGGGGCGAGGCGGAAUUCCUAGUGUAGCGGUGAAAUGCGUAGAUAUUAGGAGGAACACCGGUGGCGAAGGCGGCCUGCUGGACGGCAACUGACGCUGAGGCUCGAAAGCGUGGGGAGCAAACAGGAUUAGAAACCCCGUGUAGU